rnacentral:tRNA from 1 species
AAGGCUUUAAGUUAAUUAAACUAUUAUCCUUCAAAGUUAAAAAUAUAAUUCUUGUUGUAAGUCUUA